rnacentral:rRNA from 1 species
AGUGAACGCUGGCGGUAGGCCUAACACAUGCGAGUCGAACGGCAGCACAGUAAGAGCUUGCUCUUACGGGUGGCGAGUGGCGGACGGGUGAGGAAUACAUCGGAAUCUACUUUUUCGUGGGGGAUAACGUAGGGAAACUUACGCUAAUACCGCAUACGACCUACGGGUGAAAGCAGGGGAUCUUCGGACCUUGCGCGAUUGAAUGAGCCGAUGUCGGAUUAGCUAGUUGGCGGGGUAAAGGCCCACCAAGGCGACGAUCCGUAGCUGGUCUGAGAGGAUGAUCCGCCACACUGGAACUGAGACACGGUCCAGACUCCUACGGGAGGCAGCAGUGGGGAAUAUUGGACAAUGGGCGCAAGCCUGAUCCAGCCAUACCGCGUGGGUGAAGAAGGCCUUCGGGUUGUAAAGCCCUUUUGUUGGGAAAGAAAAGCAGCAGGUUAAUACCCCGCUGUUCUGACGGUACCCAAAGAAUAAGCACCGGCUAACAUCGUG